CCCUUAGAUGUUCUGGGCCGCACGCGUGCUACACUGAGUAAUUCAAUGGGUAAGGGAACGCUAGAGCAUUACCUAAUCUUGAAAUUUGCUCGUGAUGGGGAUCGACGGUUGCAAUCUUCCGUCGUGAACGAGGAAUACCUUGUAGGCGCAUGUCAUCAUCAUGCGCCGAAUACGUCCCUGCCCUUUGUACACACCGCCCGUCGCUCCUACCGAUUGAGUGAUCCGGUGAGGCUCUGGGACCUGGACGGAAAGAGCGUUUCGCUUGUUCUGUUUGGGAAACUUGGUCGAACCUUAUCACUUAGAGGAAGGAGAAGUCGUAACA
rnacentral:rRNA from 1 species